CAUACCUUUCAGCGCCGGUCCAAGGAAUUGUAUCGGGCAAAAGUUCGCCAUGCUGGAACUGAAAGCAACCUUGGCGUACCUCUUGUAUAAUUUCAUUUUCGAGCCUGUAGAUUAUCUUAAAGACGUCACUUUUGUACCAGACCUUAUCCUACAAACGGAACAUUCUUUUCGAACUAAGUUCGUUCCGCUGGAGGUUGUCGGUUGAUAAACAUUAGAACAUGAUCAGUACUUGGUACAGGAUUCGUAUUUGGUGGACUCGUUUUAUUUGUAGGGAACACGAUAAAAGAGGCGAGUUAAGUUGACGAUCACUUUUAAUAGAUGAAAUACGAAAACAAUGUACAGAUACAGAAUUUACAUUCCUAGCCGACGAAAGUUCGCUAGAUAAAAUGUUAAUUGUGUAGUAAAAAAUGAAUUAAAAAUAAAGACGAUAUACACUUAA